UGUCGCGAGCCCUUCGACGGCUUCAUUUCGGUUAGUUUUUCUUUUGAGCUCAUUUUGCUUUCCUUGGAGACAAGUUUACCUGCACGGUAAGCCUGAAAACCGCAAAGCCGAACUCUUAAGGGAAUUACAAGAGCCUGGAAACGCGGCCAGCUUUCACAGAGGAAGGAGGGAAAGAACAACAACGGAUGACAGCCGUUCCGCCCGCCUCAGCUGCAGGUACUCGGCGCGGCUCGGCCGCUGCUGCUGCAGCUCCCUCAGGACGCGGGGAGGGGCGGCUACCUCGGCGGCGCUGUAGAGCUCGGUGAGCAGCCCGCUGACCAGCGACGAGGUGCGGCUGGAGCGGCCGCUGCCGGGAACCUCCUCGUCCUCCUCGUCCUCCUCUUCGGCCAGGCUGUCCGCGCUGCUGCCCGCCCGGCCGCCCGCGCCUCGCUCCCCCGCCUCCAUCUUCCGCGGCCGCUCGGCAGCGC
rnacentral:lncRNA from 1 species